AUGCAGUGCUGUGCUGUGCUGUGUGUUGCUCUGUGCAGUGCUGUGCCAUGCAGUGCAGUGCAGUGCUGUGCUGUGUGUUGCUCUGUGCAGUGCUGUGCCAUGCAGUGCUGCUCCGUGCGUUGCUCUGUGCUGUGCUGCAAAGCAUGGCGUUGCUUUGCACCGUGCCGUGCUGCAUUCCACCAUGCAACCUUUGCAAAAUGGCAUUGCACCGUGCAGCCAUGCACAGUGCCAUGUUGCAUUGCACCAUGCGACCCUGCACCAUGCGACCCUGCGCCAUGCAACCUUGCACCGUGCAACCUUGCAUUGUGCAACCUUGAAGAUGGCACUGCACCAUGCCAUGUUGCAUUGCACCGUGCUACCUUGCACCACCCCAUGCAACCCUGCACCAUGCCAUGUUGCACUGCACCAUGCAAACCUGCACCACGCCAUGUUGCAUUGCGCCAUGCAACCUUGCACCAUGCAACCCUGCACCAUACCAUGUUGCACUGCACCAUGCAAACCUGCACCACACCACGCAGCCUUGCACUAUGCAGCUUUGCACCACGUCACGUUGCAUUGCACCCUGCAACCUUGCAUCAUGCAAACUUGCACGCCACAUUGCAUUGCACCACGCAAACCUGCACCACACCAUGUUGCAUUGCGCCGUGCAGCCUUGCACCAUGCCGUGUUGCAUGGCACCAUGCAACCUUGAACCAUGCAGCCUUGCACCACGCCACGUUGCAUUGUGCCAUGCAACUCUGCCCCACGUCACGUUGUGCUGCAUCGUGCGACUCUGCAAGCCACGUUGCAUCGCACGAUGCAACCCUGCACCACACCACGUUGCACUGCACCAUGCAACCUUGCACCGUGCCACGCUGCACUGCUGCAUGCUGCCCUGCAACCCUGCCGUGUCCCCGCAGCCCGGAGCAUGAUGUCCUACAUCAAGCAGCCCCACUAUGCUGUCAAUGGGCUGACGCUGGCUGGACCAGGCAUGGAUUUGCUGCAUUCUGCUGUGGGGUACCCCGGUGA
rnacentral:lncRNA from 1 species